GGGGUCCACUGCCGCAGUGUGGGAGGUUUGUUCUUUCGCUCUUUGCAAUAAAUCUUGUUACUGCUCACCCUGGGUCCACACUGCUUUUGUGAGUUGUAACACUCACUGGGAAGGUCUGCAGCUUCACUCCUCAAGCCCGGGAGACCGCGAGCCCACCGGGAGAAACGAACAACUCUAGACGCGCCGCCUUAAAAGCGGUAACAUUCACUGCGAAGGUCUGCAGCUUUACUCCUGAGCCAGCGAGACCACGAGCCCACCAGAAGGAAGAAACCCCGAAUACGUCUGAACGUCAGAAGGAACAAACUCCAGAAGCGCCACCUCAAGAGCUGUAACACUCACCGCGAGGGUCCGCGGCUUCAGUCUUGAAGUCAGUGAGACCAAGAACCCACCAAUUCGGGACACAAUACCUAUAAUCCCAGUACUUUAGGAGGCCAGGGCAGGCGGAUCAUCUGAGCUCAGGGGUUGGAGAGGAGCCUGAACAACAUACCGAAACCCCGUCUCUACAAAAAAUACAAAAAUUAACCGGUUGUGGUGGCCGGUGCCGGUAGUUCCAGCUAGUGGGGGACUGCGGAGGUGGGAGCUGAAGCGGGAGGAUCGCUUGAGCCUGGAGGUUGAGGCUGCAGUAAACAGGGAUUGCGUCAGGACACUCCAACCUGGGGAACAGAACGAUGCCCUAAAAGGCUGGCUGAGCUGACUGGAGUCCAAUCUCCUGACUCUCAGGUCCCCGCAUCAGAGGAACACAUUGUUUUCUUGGGAAGCCUUCAAGAGACAGUCAUGCAUGGGUGAGAAACUGGUGCUCUCAGAGAGCGUAUGAGUGGCCCAAUGUCACACUACCUCUGGGUGUGUGCAUGUGGAGCCAGGAUUUGAUCCUGGGCAGAUCAAACCCCAAGUGCCACCAGGUGCAGUCGAUCACAUGCUGACCCCCCACUUUACUGAUGAGAAAACUGAGACCUAGAGAGGUUGAGUAACCUGUCCAAGACACCUGGAUGAUAAGCCGGACCCAGCCAACAAGCCCAGCCAGCUUGAUGCCAGAAUCCUCUUACCUGACCUCUGUGCCUGCCAUCCCAGCUGCUAGAGUGGAGAGCCGGCCUUUCCUCGCUGCAGGAUGGACCCUAGGCCUCUCUCUGGGUUUCCAGAUCCUGCUCUGAAGAGCCGGCCUUUCCUCGCUGCAGGAUGGACCCUAGGCGUCUCUCUGGGUUUCCAGAUCCUGCUCUGGAGAGCCGGCCUUUCCUCGCUGCAGGAUGGACCCUAGGCGUCUCUCUGGGUUUCCAGAUCCUGCUCUGGAGAGCCGGCCUUUCCUCGCUGCAGGAUGGACCCUAGGCGUCUCUCUGGGUUUCCAGAUCCUGCUCUGGAGAGCCGGCCUUUCCUCGCUGCAGGAUGGACCCUAGGCCUCUCUCUGGGUUUCCAGAUCCUGCUCUGGAGAGCCGGCCUUUCCUCGCUGCAGGAUGGACCCUAGGCGUCUCUCUGGGUUUCCAGAUCCUGCUCUGAAGAUGAGGAGAUGACAUUUAGCACCAGCCUUCUCUAACUGGCUCUAAGAGGAAUCGGUGUUCCCUGGUGGUUCAGGAGUCAAAAGGGCCAACUGUAGCUUUAUUCCUCUUUCAAAGGAAAUAAAGCAGAGGUCCUAUUUGGGGAUAGGCCCUAUGCCUGAGUUACUUUGGCACUUAAUUGCUAUUAUUUAAUUGCUGUAUUGGGGAGCACAAAGUGAUCUACUGCAAAGUUAUUAGCAAAUUCUAGUUUUAAGGAAAUAAUUACUGAAUUCUCCCUCCCUGGGUUGAGUAAUUCCUUCCAAGAUGCUCAGCGACAUUAAGCAUUUUCACUAGGGCCACUAGCAGCUCUGUAAUAUG
rnacentral:lncRNA from 1 species